UAGCUUCCGCCGCCGCUGCCGCCGCCGCGCCCGCCGCCGUAGGAUCCGCCUCCGGAACUAAAUAAUAGUAGUCUCUCCCAGAAGUGCAAAUUGUCAUGGUGAAGAUGGAGCCUUGUUAUUGUCACAGGCUCCAUAUAACUGAACUGAGUGGAGAUUGGAAGAUUAAUGGAUUGAUUUGGGGAAGCGCACAUGGUAAGCAUAGGCUCUCUUAGUGCGACGUGGCCCAGAUUCACUUUCCUGUGAGUAUUUCAGUGGCAAGUAAACAACUGGACAACCUACUGUGAUAUUUCUACGUAUCAUUUCAACUCACACCCAUACGGCAUACCCACCUUCUCCGGGACGUUGCUUUAGGCACCUGGGACUUGUUUCUACAUGGCUAACGAUACAUGGCCAUCCCUAGCCUUUGUGUUGGUCUCCUAGAACAGAAUAAUGCCAUCUGUAGACAAAUGGGUGGUACUGGAGGCCAGCAUGCCAAGCAAACUAAGAAAGACUAGAAAGACAGACAUUGCAUGUUUCUGUCAUAUGCCAAAUCUAGAUGUAAACAAAACAAAACAAAACAGGGGUUAUUUGGG